rnacentral:tRNA from 1 species
GGUGCGGUAGCCAAGUGGUAAGGCAAGGGCCUGCAAAGCCUUUAUGCAGCGGUUCGAAUCCGCUUCGCACCU